GCGAGUAUAGUUCAACGGUCAGAAUAUUAGACUGCCAGUCUGAGGAUGCGGGUUCGAUUCCCGUUACUCGCUCCA
rnacentral:tRNA from 1 species